AUAGAAAUAUACACGUCUCCACAUAUUGGAGACCACUAGCACCACCACUGAUCUAUAAAUGGAACAGGAACUUGAGAGAUUUGUGACACGAACUGGAAUUACUCCGCGAUUCUGGCGAUUAUGACAAUGACAAUGACUCGCUGUGACGAUAAUGGCUCUAUCCAGACAUCUCGCCGAUUCUCGUUCUUCGCGAGGUGACAGAAUCUGUCGUAGCAUCUCACUUUCUCGGAUCUUUAUACUUGACGAGGCCAAGUCGAGGCCAAAAGUUUCUCUCCCUUUAUUGUUAGCUUAGUACAUUGUAUAUAUCCUGAGUUUGUUUUUUUUUUCGCAUCAAAAUAUCGAUGCCUCCAAGAUAACUAAAUCCAAUCACGCCACACGUAAAAUCUGUUGUUCAAGUUGUCUCACAUUUAGUUACCAAGAAUUACAAUACAGUGGUGUCACAUCAUCAAUGACCGGGCCAAUUCAUUGCGACAUCUGAUGUGAAUAAGGAUUGUGCAUAAAUGUAUUAUGUUCCUGCGCUUUAAGCCUGAGGCAGGCUAUGCUGGAUCCAAUGUUAGGUGGGGGUGAGUACGAAUGAUUGGCGAGAGCACAGCUUGAAGAAGAGGAAGCAGGACUAUAGGCCGGAGGAGCGUACCAAUUCAAUGAAUCGGCGGAUCCCAUGGAAGACUGUCGUGGCGUAAUUGGCUGUUCAAUUGGAGUCGCUUCUUGUCGCCCGUACAUAUUGCCUCUUUGAGCCAUCAUGUUUCUUUCGUUUCGUCGAAAUUUUGCUCUUCGGUUCUGAAACCAAACCUACAAUAAAAGAAACAAAAAAGAUUGUAAAUUAAAUACAAAGAACGUAAAACAUUUUCAAACUUUUGGAUUUUUUUUUUCGGUUUUCAAGGUGCUGAAUUCCUUUACCUGUACUCUGGCUUCACUAAGGUUGACUCUUCUCGCGAGUUCCUCUCGAACAAACGCAUCGGGAUAAUGGGUGCGUUCGAACACCCUCUCUAACGCUGCCAGUUGGUUGCUAUUAAAUGUGGUUCUGUUGCGGCGUUGCUUUCGCCGCCUUUUGCUGUCUUUGUCAUCUUUAUCAUCGUCCUCAUUACCGCCUGUAAAAUGAAUAACAAUUAUUAUCAUUAUCCUAUAUAACAACGUAUAUGUUAUACACAACGAAUAAACUGCAUUUUUUGAAUGUAUUAUAUGCAUUCAAUAUGAAAUCUAACUGUUAUUUUGUUGUUAAUUUGAUUUUAACUGUUAAAAACAUAAUAAUAAACAAGUAACCUCAUAUUAAUAGUUACGUUACAUUAUAAAAUACAUCCGUAAUCAGUAUACAUAAUAUAUAUCUAUAACCUACAUUUUAACGUUAUGAAACAAAUUAAGACGGAUUCCUAUUCAAAGUUAUAGUCAUGUUGUAUAUUUUAGUUGUUGAAAUAAAUUACAUUACUUUAGCUUAUAAAAUAUUUAAAAACC
rnacentral:sRNA from 1 species